UCAUCAUGAUGGCGAUGAUGCUGAUCAUGAUGAUGAUGAUGAUGAUGAUGAUGAUCAUCAUCAUCAUCAUCAUCAUCAUCAUCAUCCACA
rnacentral:pre_miRNA from 1 species